CCUACGGGAGACAGCAGUGAGGAAUAUUGGUCAAUGGGCGCGAGCCUGAACCAGCCAAGUCGCGUGAGGGAAGACGGUCCUAUGGAUUGUAAACCUCUUUUGUCGGGGAGCAGAAGACGCCACGCGUGGCGUUCCGAGAGUCCCCGAAGAAAAAGCAUCGCCUAACCCCGUGCCAGCAGCCGCGGUAAUACGGAGGCUGCGAGCGUUAUCCGGAUUUAUUGGGUUUAAAGGGUGCGCAGGCGGAAGGUCAAGUCAGCGGGAAAAUUGAGAGGCUCAACCUCUUCGAGCCGUUGAAACUGGUUUGCGUGAGUGAUCUAGAGGUAUGCGGAAUGCGUGGUGUAGCGGUGAAAUGCAUAGAUAUCACGCAGAACUCCGAUGGCGAAGGCAGCAGACCGGCGAUCAACUGACGCUCAUGCACGAAAGUGUGGGUAGCGAACAGGAUUAGAUACCCUUGUAGUC
rnacentral:rRNA from 1 species